rnacentral:rRNA from 1 species
AUUGAACGCUGGCGGCAUGCCUUACACAUGCAAGUCGAACGGCAGCGGGGGAGAAGCUUGCUUUUCCUGCCGGCGAGUGGCGAACGGGUGAGUAAUACAUCGGAACGUGCCCUGUAGUGGGGGAUAACUAGUCGAAAGAUUAGCUAAUACCGCAUACGACCUGAGGGUGAAAGUGGGGGACCGCAAGGCCUCAUGCUAUAGGAGCGGCCGAUGUCUGAUUAGCUAGUUGGUGGGGUAAAGGCCUACCAAGGCGACGAUCAGUAGCUGGUCUGAGCGGACGAUCGGGCACACUGGGACUGAGACACGGGCCAGACUCCUAGCGGAGGCAGCAGUAGGGAAUUUUGGACAAUGGGCGAAAGCCUGAUUCAGCAAUGCCGCGUGUGUGAAGAAGGCCUUCGGGUUGUAAAGCACUUUUGUCCGGAAAGAAAUGGCUCUGGUUAAUACCUGCGGUCGAUGACGGUACCGGAAGAAUAAGGACCGGCUAACUACGUGCCAGCCGCCGCGGUAA